AGCACGGUGAUUUUCCAGCUAGUGGGUU
rnacentral:piRNA from 1 species